rnacentral:rRNA from 1 species
AGAAUCAACGCUGGCGGCGUGCCUAACACAUGCAAGUCGAACGCGAAAGUCCCGCAAGGGAUAAGUAGAGUGGCAAACGGGUGAGUAACACGUGGGUGACCUGCCUUCAAGUGGGGGAUAACGUCCCGAAAGGGACGCUAAUACCGCAUAACAUGCUGCCUUUUAACAGGUGGACAUCAAAGCUGGGAUCGCAAGACCUGGCGCUAGAAGAGGGGCCCGCGCCUGAUUAGCUAGUUGGUGGGGUAAUGGCUCACCAAGGCGACGAUCA